AGCCCUAAGAGAGAAGAGAGACAAAGCAAUGGAAGCUGCGAGGAGAGAGAAAGCAAUUGAGCACGAAAUCGGAGGUCUACAAAAUGACACUCUUCGUUUUGGACUUCAUAGCGUCAAGAGCGAGAUCGUUGGAUCUCAUCCCCUUCAAUCUGCCUAUCAAUCUACAAAGGAGGUGCAGGAACAGAUGAAGAGGAGAAUCCUUGUGAACACGUACGGAUCGGCUUUUCCUUUGAAGAUGGACUUGGAUCGACAAAUGCUUUCUAGGUAACCCAAUUUGUAAGUGGACUGUUUGAGUCAAGAAAUGAUCUUUCCACAUUUAAGAAUCACAUACGAGACUUCCUUGUGCAGUCAAAAGAGUUCUCAGCACAGAUAUUUCUCGAGUAGGAAUUUGCUUCUUGUGGAGUGCAGACGUGUGAAGAAUGUGACUAACUUUU